UACGCUUUUUCGCCUCCAAAAUCGUUUUAGGGUUCAGAAAGGAUCACAAGAAAAUUUCAAGAAUGUGUUUACUCUCCAAAAUCAAGGCGGGAAGUCUUCAUCUUUCUCACCGCCAAAACCAUAAACCAUAUCAAAUCGAUUUGAGAAAGCUAAUGUCGAGAUAUUAGUAUUAUGGAAGGAGAAAACACAUUGAUUGAAGAUGUGCCUAUAUUGGAAAUGGAGGAUGAGGACCAAAAUGAUGGAUCUGAUCUAGAUGAUUCAGAACAUGAAGACACAUUGGAUUACACUUCCAGCGAUUCCAAUAGCAAUAUAGAGACUAUAAAGAAAACAAGGAAGAGGGGAUUGACUCGAUUGCCAAAGUUACGGACCGAACAUACAAAUUCUGGUGGAAGAAAAAAACAUGUAAAGUUUGAUGAAUUUGGAAGGUUUGCAGGGAAGUAUAGAUCACAGUUACCAACUUAUCUGGGAGACUUAGUACGGGAAAGGGUAGGAGUUAGUGUUUUCAAUUGGAAGAAGGUAACAAAAGAAGUCAAGGAGAAACUAUGGGAAGAGAUAACGCGUUUUUAUGAAAUUGAGGAUAGUCGAAGAAAAUAUAUAAUGAAUCGGCUUGGUAUGCUUCUACGGAAUUUUAGAAGAAAAUUUUAUGCAAAAUACAUAGAGCCCAACUUAGGGAAUACCGCUAAGCUUAAAAGAAUUCCUAAACGAUACAGUACAAUAAUUCUUAGCCAAGAUCAUUGGGACAAGUUCGUUGAACACACACAGUCACACAAAUUCAAGGAUACGUCGAGAAAGGCGAUAGUAGCGCGUUCGAAGUCGAAUUAUAAUCACCGGAUGGGACGAGGAGGAUAUACGACUCUAAGAGAGAAACUGGUGGUCCAAGAAGGCCAACAUUUACCAAUGUUAAAGUCAUGGCAGAAAAACUAAUGGAACAUGAAAAACAAAUCAAAGAUGGAGAUGUGAAGCUUGAUCCUGGGAUGGAUGCCAUGACACUAGUCUUUGGCAAGGAAAAUGGUGGAUUCUUAAAAGGGGUUGGCAUAGGAGUGACUGCUAACAGAUAUUUCCACAUUCCUAGAACCGAAGGAUCUUCAAAAGAACAAAUUGCGGACCUAAAGUUUGAACUACAGAAUGAGAGACUUGAGCUGCAGAAAAAAGAUGAAGAACUUAAGGCGUUGUCAACAAAGGUGAGAGAAUAAGAUAAUACACUAAAGUUAGUUUUAGCUCAUCUUGAAUCACAAGGAACAAUGAUACCUAAUCUACCAUCUCAUCUGAAUCAGUCUCCAACACAAGUAUUUUCAGUGGACAAAAACAUUGAAUCUCAUGCCACUCCUGUUACUAAUACUAUCAUAGAGAAAACACCUAUCAUAAAUAAAGCAUCGACAAAUGAAACAGUUACACGAGUAAUGGCAAAAGCCACCAAAAUAACUGUUGAAUCUAAGAGUGCGACUACAAAUUCACAUCCAAAAACAAAAGAUACUCAUUCACCAAAACUCUCACAGAUAUGUAUUUGUAUUUUGACAUGAAAAUAUAAAUUUCUGUUUAUUGUUUUUUUAUCUAAAUAUGUGCAAUCAUUGUAGCCAAUGAAGACAAUGAAGUGCAUUCUACAAUAUCCAAAUAAUAGAAGUAAUGUUGCUUUUGGUACCGUUUACAUAUCUUCGGAAAGACAAACCAUUCAUGGAGUUCCACUUCAAGACGACUGCUAUAAAGUUUCAAUUGAUGAUGUGAUAAAAGGAGCUGCAUUUUUACCAUAUCCAAACGGUGAUAUCAAAUUAGUUGAGGAUGCACAUAAAACUUUUGUUGCAUGGCCAAAAUACCUUGUCAAAUGUGACGAAAAGGUACCACGAAUGGGAUCAACUCAAGAUGAUGAACAUAAAAGCUCAAAGAAACAAAGAAAAAGUUUAACUCAAGAUGAUGAACAUAAAAGGUCCAAGAAGUAAAAAAAAAUUAUAACGAGAUUUAGCAUUGACAAGCAUACAAGGAGCACUUUCAACAAGACUAAAGAAAUCUAGUUUUUGGUUAAUUAUGACUGUUUAUUCCUUUCUUUAACAUUUUUAAUAAACUUGUUCUGAUUACAAGGAUUUUUACCAUUUAAUUAGUGAAAUUAUGAAUGGAAACUUUUAUUUGAUUUAAUAUUAAUAUUGAUAUUUUCUUGUCAUUU